CCGGCUUGAGGCGAGUGCGGCGCUCCGUGCCGCCGCCGCCAUCGCCAUCGCCAUCGCCAUCGCCAUAGGCAUCGGCAUCGGCAUCAUGAGUACGACGUUGGCCAAGAUCGCCGAGAUCGAGGCGGAGAUGGCCCGCACGCAGAAGAACAAGGCCACGGCGCACCACCUGGGGCUCCUGAAGGCUCGGCUGGCCAAGCUGCGUCGGGAGCUCAUCACCCCCAAAGGAGGCGGAGGGGGCGGCCCCGGAGAAGGUUUUGAUGUUGCGAAAACUGGAGAUGCUCGAAUCGGCUUUGUGGGCUUUCCGUCUGUGGGGAAGUCCACUCUGCUUAGCAACCUCGCAGGUGUGUACUCAGAAGUGGCAGCCUAUGAGUUCACCACACUGACUACUGUGCCUGGGGUGAUUCGGUACAAAGGGGCAAAAAUACAGCUUCUUGAUCUUCCAGGAAUCAUUGAAGGUGCAAAAGAUGGGAAGGGCAGAGGUCGUCAAGUCAUUGCAGUUGCUCGAACCUGCAACCUUAUUCUGAUAGUUCUGGAUGUUCUGAAGCCUCUGGGACAUAAGAAGAUAAUUGAGAAUGAGUUGGAGGGCUUUGGGAUACGUUUGAAUAGUAAACCUCCCAACAUUGGCUUUAAGAAAAAGGAUAAAGGAGGCAUCAACCUCACAGCCACAUGCCCCCAGAGCGAGCUAGAUACUGAAACUGUGAAGAGCAUCCUGGCAGAGUAUAAAAUCCACAAUGCGGAUGUCACACUGCGGAGCGAUGUCACUGCAGACGACCUUAUUGAUGUUGUUGAAGGAAACAGAGUAUAUAUCCCAUGCAUCUAUGUAUUAAACAAAAUUGACCAGAUCUCCAUUGAGGAACUUGACAUAAUUUACAAAGUGCCGCACUGUGUUCCAAUCUCGGCUCACCACCGAUGGAACUUUGAUGACCUGUUGGAGAAAAUCUGGGACUACCUGAAACUUGUGCGCAUGAACCUGAGGCAGCUCACCUAGCUCUCCUCUACCCCAUUUUUAUCCUCACAACAACUCCCUUGUGAAGCUGAGAUGGAGUGACUGACCCAGAGCCCCAGCUGAGCUUCAUGACCAAGCGAGGAAUGGAACCUGGAUCUCACAGGUCCUCAGCACUCUAACCUCCACGCUACACUGGCUCCUGCAGUGCUGUUCUUUUCUGCUGAUAAUCAUCCUGAAAGUGCAGCAUGUUGCCCUUCAAAUAAUUCUCAGUAAAGCUCUUGCAGAUGUUAGAAUCAUUCUCUCUUAUGAGGGGGUACUAAGGGAAUUUUACAUGAUGCUUCCAAGGGCCAGAACUGGAUUAACGGUUCUAAUUUGAAAAUGCAGCUACACAAAGCCUAAAGGACAGCUACCAGAUUACACGUCUCCAGUGGUAUUGCCUUACUCUCGGACCACUGUGGAGGAUUUCUGUAUGAAGAUUCACAAAAAUCUCAUUAAAGAGUUUAAGUAUGCACUUGUGUGGGGAUCA